UCAGCAUUUACCUGUAACGAUUCAGGACCCACCAAAGAGGGACCUGUGUGCUCCUAAGGACGAUUUCUAUUGUGUGUACUGCACUGGUGCUCAAGCUACAGCAAUAGGCAUAAACCUUGAGAAUCGUGUGAUCACAACCGCCAUGACCAACCUCCAUCACAUGCCGGACCAUCAGGCUGCCUGACCCUGUAACCCUCCAUACCACAAUGCCAGCCCCUGAAAUAAAAGCUCAAUAAAAUAACA
rnacentral:lncRNA from 1 species